AUGAAUAUUUUGGCGUGGAACUAUCAAGGAAUGGGGUUGGACUCGACAGUAGGCGAGCCGCGUGACCUGAUUAGAUCCUACAACCCAACGGUGGUGUUCUUGAGCGAAACAAAGAAGAAGGCUAGUGCUAUGGAGAGACUGAAAUGGAGACUGGCAUUCCGCAAUGGUGUUUGCCUGGAUUGUGAUAGCCUCAGUGGGGGUCUUGCACUAUGGUGGAGAGAUAACAUUCAGGUGACAAUUAGACCAUGGUGUCAAUAUUUUAUUGACACGGAGAUACAGUGGGAGGGGAAGACCUGUAGAUUCACUGGUUUCUACAGGGAGCCAUGA
rnacentral:rRNA from 1 species